UACGUAGGGGGCAAGCGUUGUCCGGAAUCAUUGGGCGUAAAGCGCGUGUAGGCGGCUCGAUAAGUCUGCUGUGAAAGUCCAGGGCUCAACCCUGGGAUGCCGGUGGAUACUGUCGGGCUCGAGUCCGGAAGAGGCGAGUGGAAUUCCUGGUGUAGCGGUGGAAUGCGCAGAUAUCAGGAGGAACACCAAUAGCGAAGGCAGCUCGCUGGGACGUUACUGACACUGAGGCGCGAAAGCGUGGGGAGCGAACAGG
rnacentral:rRNA from 1 species